rnacentral:rRNA from 1 species
UAGGGAAUCUUCGGCAAUGGGGGCAACCCUGACCGAGCAACGCCGCGUGAGUGAAGAAGGUUUUCGGAUCGUAAAGCUCUGUUGUAAGAGAAGAACGUGUGUGAGAGUAGAAAGUUCACACAGUGACGGUAACUUACCAGAAAGGGACGGCUAACUACGUGCCCG